rnacentral:rRNA from 1 species
UACGUAGGGGGCAAGCGUUGUCCGGAAUCAUUGGGCGUAAAGAGCGUGUAGGCGGCUUGGCAAGUCUGGUGUGAAAUCUUGCGGCUCAACCGCAAGCGGUCACUGGAAACUGCCUCGCUAGAGUCCGGAAGAGGAGAGCGGAAUUCCUGGUGUAGCGGUGGAAUGCGCAGAUAUCAGGAAGAACACCCGUGGCGAAGGCGGCUCUCUGGGACGGUACUGACGCUGAGGCGCGAAAGCGUGGGGAGCAAACAGG